UACGUAGGGUGCGAGCGUUGUCCGGAAUUAUUGGGCGUAAAGAGCUUGUAGGCGGUUUGUCGCGUCUGCUGUGAAAUCCGGGGCUCAACCCCGGACUUGCAGUGGGUACGGGCAGACUAGAGUGUGGUAGGGGAGACUGGAAUUCCUGGUGUAGCGGUGGAAUGCGCAGAUAAUCAGGAGGAACACCGAUGGCGAAGGCAGGUCUCUGGGCCACUACUGACGCUGAGAAGCGAAAGCAUGGGGAGCGAACAGG
rnacentral:rRNA from 1 species